rnacentral:lncRNA from 10 species
GUAGUGUGUUGGAGCCAGCUCGGACUAGCUUAGAAGAGUCAACUGUGCACGAUGCUUUUCAACUCUGUCUUCAGGGACUUCAGGAGCACUGCUUAAAACCGGCCUUGGUGAGGAGGGAUUUAUUUCAUUUGCUCCUGAAGUUAAAUCUCAUGAAAUCAUGUGAAAUUCAGUGAUGUGUUACUGGGAACAAAAAGGGUUAUGGAGUCCCUGAGGACUAGUUCGGGGACACUGAAAAUAGAGAAAUGGAUGCAAGAGGUACUGCAAUGAAAAACCAAUGCUGAUUAAGAACAACUGAAGAAGCUGCAACUUAGUGGAAAAGACACCAAAUUGUAAGCAGGUUACGUUAUUAAUUGUGAUGCCUUCCCACAAGAGCUGUGUCUGUACUGUGCCACAUAACCCCUGAAGCUGAAUAAAGAACUUUCUCCUUGAUUCCCCCAGCCCUCCAAAAACAUCAGGUGAUGAGGUCCCAUUGUAAAUGACCCAAGGACAAACAGCUCAUGACUUCAAAGGAGGCCUCUUCAACCCAGGGCAAAUUCAGGCCUUCAUUCCAGGGGUCUGUAAGCAAGUACUGAGUGAAGAGAUAUCCUAAAAUCAAUCGGUAAAUUGCAUGUUUGAAGUAAACUAAAAACCAAAUUUCAGGGUUGAUGCUGGCUUUGGAGGAGAUGGGAAAAUCAUUUGUUUGGAGACAAGAAGCAUGUUAUGCCGGUAGAUGUGUGCACAUAUGCUUCUAUAAGUGGGUACAUGCAUUCCCACUUUUCCUGCCAAGUCUUUAGAAAACCACUUAAGUAAGAAUGGAGAAAUGUAGCAUUGUAGCUUCCCUACAGUUUGUGUUCAUUUUGUUUAUUGCAGUUCCUCUUUGCCAACCCUGGAUAAUGGCAACAACUUCUUUAGUGGCAUGCUGCAUGCUCUGUUUGGUCAUGUCCAGAGAUACCCAAGAUAAAGAAGUUUGAUAAAUAUACACAUUAACUCAGCAAAAAUAACAUGGUUAUUUUCAUGAAUAUUGCACUUGGGCACAUCAGCAAAAUUCAAAAGUGAUAAAAGGUGAGCAUUGUAUAUGAAUUUUGCAUAUGUACAUGGUAAUAUUUUGACACUAGGAACAAUAUUUUAAGUUGAAAUGUCUAUAUUUUAAUUUAGUAAAGAUUUGGCAAGCCCCUGCUAUAUUAGCAAUAUCAAGAUAAUGAGAUAAAGAUCCCACUCUCAAUAAAAAUAUAAAAUUAUACAUGUUUCUUGUGCCCAUCAUCAGCCAUCGUUAUGAACAUCACUCUGAACUGUUAUGCACAAUAAGAUAACUAGAGGGUUAAAAAUGAAGGUUUUACUGCUCACGUUGAAUAUUAUUUUUAGAAAAGAAAGUCAUUUCUAUUAUAGAGGAGGCAUUGUGGUCUACUAUAAUGGCAAGCAUAUUAAAAACAAUGCAUUCCUGGUGAAAUAAUGCUUAGAGCAUAGUCAACAAAAUAAGCAGGCUGCUGAAAAAAGUUUAAAUGUCAUAUUUCAUUAAUUCUAAGACACAUUUCCUCCUGCUUUUAGAUCUCUCAAAUUGAAAGGCAUCUUACAACCUAUAGAUGAAAUCUAGUAAAUAGAAUAAGAUAAAAAGUAUCUUAGUUUCUUUCCUUGGGUUGUUUGCCUUUCUUUUAAGGGAAGGUUUGUUUGACUGUUGUGUUUUGUUUUUAACAGCUUGUUUAUGAAUCUUCCCUUUUCUAGCGUUAAUGAUUGUGUGAGCCUAGAAUUUAAAUGGUACAAAACUCUGAUUUUUGUUUUUAUUCUUUGUUCUGACCAUUACUGAGGGGAGUACAGGACACUGAAGCAGAAACAAGGUCUGAAAGUGGCAAUGUGGACCUUGCUCCUCUGUGGAGGACUCUGGUACCUGUCUGUGUCUGAAUCUUGCCACUUCCACUUAUCUAGCUUUGCGAUCUGGAAAAGAUUAACUUUAGCCUCUCUGUGCCUCAGUUUCUUCAAGUGCUGAAUAAUGGUAUCUACCUCAUAGUGCUGCUAUGAGGGUUGAGUUUAAUAUAAGUAAGGCCUUAGAAUAAUGCCUGGCACAUACUAAAUAUUCUCUCAACUUUAGCUGUUACCAUUGUGCCUCACUUCC